rnacentral:snoRNA from 1 species
UUUGCCCCCGGUUGAGUACGGAAAUAUGUGACAAUACAUCUUUAACAAUUUCCUUAAUGAAGGGCGGCCAAAGCAAAUGUUGCAGCUGGCCUCUGCCAUUUGACAAUUAAAUGGCACCGCCUGCUGCAGCGACAGCU